ACUUAGUGGCAGACGGGUGAGUAACAUGUGGGUAUCUACCCUUUGGCCUGGAAUAACACGAGGAAACUUGUGCUAAUACCGGAUAAGUCUUUACGGAGAAAGCUUUAUGCACCAUUGGAUGAGCCUGCACUUGAUUAGUUUGUUGGUAGGGUAAUGGCCUACCAAGACUAUGAUCAAUAGCUGAUUUGAGAGGAUGAUCAGCCACAUUGGGACUGAGACACGGCCCAAACUCCUACGGGAGGCAGCAGUGGGGAAUCUUGCACAAUGGAGGAAACUCUGAUGCAGCGAUGCCGCGUGAGUGAAGAAGGCCCUUGGGUUGUAAAGCUCUUUCGUCGGGGAAGAAAAUGACUGUACCCGAAUAAGAAGGUCCGGCUAACUUCGUGCCAGCAGCCGCGGUAAUACGAAGGGACCUAGCGUAGUUCGGAAUUACUGGGCUUAAAGAGUUCGUAGGUGGUUGAAAAAGUUGGUGGUGAAAUCCCAGAGCUUAACUCUGGAACUGCCAUCAAAACUUUUCAGCUAGAGUAUGAUAGAGGAAAGCAGAAUUUCUAGUGUAGAGGUGAAAUUCGUAGAUAUUAGAAAGAAUACCAAUUGCGAAGGCAGCUUUCUGGAUCAUUACUGACACUGAGGAACGAAAGCAUGGGUAGCGAAGAGGAUUAGAUACCCUCGUAGUCCAUGCCGUAAACGAUGUGUGUUAGACGUUGGAAAUUUAUUUUCAGUGUCGCAGCGAAAGCGAUAAACACACCGCCUGGGGAGUACGACCGCAAGGUUAAAACUCAAAUGAAUUGACGGGGACCCGCACAAGUAGUGGAGCAUGUGGUUUAAUUCGAAGAUACGCGCAGAACCUUACCAACACUUGACAUGUUCGUCGCGACUCUAAGAGAUUAGAGUUUUCGGUUCGGCCGGACGAAACACAGGUGCUGCAUGGCUGUCGUCAGCUCGUGUCGUGAGAUGUUCGGUUAAGUCCGGCAACGAGCGCAACCACAUCCCUAGUUGCCAGCAGUUCGGCU
rnacentral:rRNA from 1 species